GACGAACGCUGGCGGCGUGCUUAACACAUGCAAGUCGAACGAUGACGACCGAGCUUGCUCGGUCUGAUUAGUGGCGAACGGGUGAGUAACACGUGAGCAACCUGCCCUUCACUCUGGGAUAACCUCGGGAAAUCGGGGCUAAUACCGGAUAUGAGCUCCUGUCGCAUGGCGGGUGUUGGAAAGUUUUUCGGUGAAGGAUGGGCUCGCGGCCUAUCAGUUUGUUGGUGAGGUAGUGGCUCACCAAGGCGAUGACGGGUAGCCGGCCUGAGAGGGCGACCGGCCACACUGGGACUGAGACACGGCCCAGACUCCUACGGGAGGCAGCAGUGGGGAAUAUUGCACAAUGGGCGAAAGCCUGAUGCAGCGACGCCGCGUGAGGGAUGACGGCCUUCGGGUUGUAAACCUCUUUCAGCAGGGAAGAAGCGAAAGUGACGGUACCUGCAGAAGAAGCACCGGCUAACUACGUG
rnacentral:rRNA from 1 species